rnacentral:tRNA from 1 species
ACAUAAGUGGCUAUAUUUAGCCACUUAAAAUUGAUUCGUAAUCAAUAGGUCAGGGGUUCGAUUCCCCUCUUCAGCUCCA